UCUCCCUGCAUUAAGAAAUGUAUUAGUAACUAUGACCUCAAAUGUUAAAACUUAUAUAAACUAAAUAAAUUUUAAAAAAAAAACAACUAUAAUAAAAAUACAAGCAAUGACUCGGGAUAUCGUCUGGGCCAAAAACUAAUUUGGUCUUCUAAAACACAAUUUAAUUUAACUUCUUUAGAGCAGCUAAUAGAGUAUUACCCAUUAAUGAUACAAGAACAUGAAUACAAGUACAAUCAGAGUACCUAGACACAUUAUAAAAGGAUCUGAAAAUUGGAUUUGAACAGGGAGACGCUGACAAUCUUUUGGGAAUAAGAAAUAAUGUAAAUGAAGUUCUUAAAUUAAAAUCUGCAGUAAUAAUCAGAAUCGAUCAAAUGUGAAUGAGAAGAGUCAAAAUGAAGAUUGUAAGGAGGAGAAUGCUUGUGUUUCUCUGCCUAAGAGUAUCUCAGUCAGGGCUAAUGGAUUCAUGAAGAUGAACUAGAUUGCUGCUGGUUCAACUCAGAAGGAUUCGACUCCAGCUCAGUCUGUGACUCCGCUUCGAUCUUCAAGAAAAGUGUAUGGACCGCAAAAGGUAUAUGUGCGAGGAGGGAGCAACAAAAACGGACCAACUGAGCUGGAAGUUUACAAUUCAAGGCAUGUUCAAGACUGAGCUAUGCAACAAAUGGCAAGAGACUAAGACCUGCCCUUAUGGUGUUCGAUGAGUGUAUCAUAUGUAAUUGAGUUUGGUUACAAAAUCUAUUUUUGAAAAGUUAGGUGAGGGUCUAAGCAAAAGGUAUUAAUGGCAGUGAGGGUCAAAGCAACUGAUAUCAGUGGCACUAUGGCAGUGAGGGUCCAAGCAGGAUUGGUAUUGAGCAUCUAGAUCUAUAGGCAAGUGGAUAGGUGAUGAUGCAGCUAAGUCAAGUGAUGGAAUGGUGAUGGUGGUGAUUUCCAUAUUCUAGCACAGGGUGUUUGUCGUUGGGUAGUCAAACACAUUUGAGGGUGGGUGGUGGUGGUUUGGAAAUUUCUGAAUGUGAGGAUCAGGGGUAAAAGUGUCAUUUUACCUCUUAAUAGAUGUUCCAGAUUACAAAGGUACAACUAUUGGGGAAUAGAGGAUCAGGGGUAUAUUUAUUAUAGUUGUUUUUUUUUUUAAAAUAAAAAAUACAACACUUAUAGCAACAUAAUUUAUGAAAGCAGUUAUUAGUAAAAAUUUC